rnacentral:rRNA from 1 species
GUGAGGAAUAUUGCGCAAUGGAGGCAACUCUGACGCAGCCAUGCCGCGUGCAGGAAGAAGGCGCUACGCGUUGUAAACUGCUUUUAACCGGGAAGAAACCCCAGGACGUGUCCUGGGUUGACGGUACCGGAGGAAUAAGCACCGGCUAACUUCGUGCCAGCAGCCGCGGUAAUACGAAGGGUGCAAGCGUUAUCCGGAUUCAUUGGGUUUAAAGGGUGCGUAGGCGGAGCGUUAAGUCAGUGGUGAAAUCCUGCAGCUUAACUGUAGACUUGCCAUUGAUACUGGCGCUCUUGAGUGCACUUGAAGUGGGCGGAAUGUGCCGUGUAGCGGUGAAAUGCUUAGAUAUGGCACAGAACACCAAUUGCGAAGGCAGCUCACUAAGGCGAUACUGACGCUGAGGCACGAAAGCGUGGGGAUCGAACAGGAUUAGAUACCCUAGUAGUCC